ensembl:miRNA MIR3675 microRNA 3675
GGAUGAUAAGUUAUGGGGCUUCUGUAGAGAUUUCUAUGAGAACAUCUCUAAGGAACUCCCCCAAACUGAAUUC